rnacentral:lncRNA from 1 species
CAGAACAAAUAAAAAUUCAUUUCUUAACCCAAAAUCCAAAAUUCACAAAUAAAAUCCCAAAACCCAAAGUUCACAAAUAAAAUUCCAAACCCAAAGUCCACAAAUAAAAUCUCAAAAUCCAAAGUCCACAAAUAAGGUCCAAAACCCAAAACCCAAAGAUCCAAAAUCCAAAGUCCAUAAAUAACACCCAACCAAAUUUACCAAACCUAUGUCCCAAACCGAGUUCUUGAGCUUGCCAAAUGGGCCACUUAGUAUGAAUUAAUUCUAAGAAUUAAUUUCUUGGGCUUUCCAACUAGACCCCUUGUCAUGAAUCAAUUUUACAAAUUAAUUUCAUGGGUCUGCCAAAUAGGCCCUUUAUCAUGAAUUAAUUCUAUGAAUUAAUUUCAUGAGCCCUCCUUGUCAUAAAUUAAUUUCAUGAAUUAAUAGGCCCUCCAAAUGGCUCCUUAUCAUAAAUUAAUUCAAUGGGCUCUCCAAAUGGCCCCUAUCAUGAAUUAAUUUCAUCAAUUGAUUCAAUGGACUUUAUAAAUGGGCUUUUAGCAUGAAUUAAUUUCAUGAACUAAUUUCAUGAGGUUAAACUCAAAGCCGACCGCCAUGUCAUUAAACUGAGCAACUCGAUUUUAAAUCGACCUCCAAGUAGCUAAACUGACCAAAUCAAAUUUCGAUACGACCGUCAAGUCGUUAAACUGAGUAAUUGACCAUCAAGUCGUUAAACUGAACAUCCGACCGCCAUGUCAUUAAACUGAGCAUCAAAAUUCAAGCCGACCAUCAUGUCAUUAAACUGAGCAACUCAAUUUAAAGCCGACCGCCAUGUCACUAAACUGAGCAACUCAAUUUUAAAUCGACCGCCAAGUCGCUAAACUGAGUAAAUCAAAUUCCGAUACGACCGUCAAGUCGUUAAACUGAACAGCCGACCGCCAUGUCAUUAAACUGAGCAUCAAAAUUCAAACCGACCGCCAUGUCAUUAAACUGAGCAACUCAAUUU